GUUGGUAAGAAAUUACGGACGUACUUCGCACGGUGGAUGGACCACUGUUGCAGACGGGAAGUUGGAAAGGUAGGAUAUUGAGGGAAGUUUAAUCUAUACCGGAUACCUAAACAAAUUUAAACACUGCCAACAAAAAACGAUUCUGAACGGAACUCGGUUAAUGGUAUCGCCUCCCUCUAGCUUCCCGGAAAUACGCGGAAACGCGGUAACCACUGAUCGCAGAGGAUCACGCCUGAGGUACAGCUCCGCCCGAGAUGAGGCGAGAAAAUCCAACAAACUUUACGGGCAACACGUUACG